rnacentral:rRNA from 1 species
AGCGAACGCUGGCGGCAGGCCUAACACAUGCAAGUCGAACGAUCCUUCGGGAUAGUGGCGGACGGGUGAGUAACACGUGGGAACGUACCUUUAGGUUCGGGAUAACUCAGGGAAACUUGAGCUAAUACCGGAUAAGCCCUUUUGGGGAAAGAUUUAUCGCCUUUAGAGCGGCCCGCGUUAGAUUAGCUAGUUGGUGGGGUAAAGGCUCACCAAGGCUCCGAUCUAUAGCUGGUCUGAGAGGAUGAUCAGCCACACUGGGACUGAGACACGGCCCAGACUCCUACGGGAGGCAGCAGUGGGGAAUCUUGCGCAAUGGGCGAAAGCCUGACGCAGCCAUGCCGCGUGAAUGAUGAAGGUCUUAGGAUUGUAAAAUUCUUUUAGCAGGGACGAUAAUGACGGUACCUGCAGAAAAAGCCCCGGCUAACUUCGUGCCAGCAGCCGCCGUAACAC